rnacentral:rRNA from 1 species
AUACGUAGGUGGCAAGCGUUGUCCGGAAUUAUUGGGCGUAAAGCGCGCGCAGGCGGCUUCUUAAGUCUGAUGUGAAAGACUGCGGCUUAACCGCAGGGGUGCAUUGGAAACUGAGGAGCUUGAGUGCAGAAGAGGAGAGCAGAAUUCCACGUGUAGCGGUGAAAUGCGUAGAGAUGUGGAGGAAUACCGGUGGCGAAGGCGGCUCUCUGGUCUGUGACUGACGCUGAGGAGCGAAAGCGUGGGGAGCGAACAGGAUUAGAUACCCUGGUAGUCCACGCCGUAAACGAUGAAUGCCAGGUGUUAGGGGGGUCCAACCCCUUAGUGCUGAAGUUAACACAUUAAGCAUUCCGCCUGGGGAGUACGGCCGCAAGGCUGAA